rnacentral:rRNA from 1 species
CCUACGGGGGGCAGCAGUGGGGAAUAUUGGGCAAUGGGCGCAAGCCUGACCCAGCAACGCCGCGUGAAGGAAGAAGGCUUUCGGGUUGUAAACCUCUUUUAAGGGGGAAGAGCAGAAGACGGUACCCCUUGAAUAAGCCACGGCUAACGACGUGACAGCCGCCGAGGUAAUACGUAGGUGGCAAGCGUUGUCCGGAUUUACUGGGUGUAAAGGGCGUGCAGCCGGCGAGACAAGUCAGAUGUGAAAGCCACGGGCUCAACCCGUGUACUGCUUUUGAAACUGUUUCCCUUGAGUGUCGGAGAGGUAAGCGGAAUUCCUUGUGUAGCGGUGAAAUGCGUAGAUAUAAGGAAGAACACCAGUGGCGAAGGCGGAUUACUGGACGAUAACUGACGGUGAGGCGCGAAAGCGUGGGGAGCAAACAGGAUUAGAUACCCUUGUAGUC